UCAUAUUUCCAAAUAUUUAUAUUAAACAUAAAUAUGAAUUAAGAAACCAUCGAUAUCUAUUUUUGUGGCCUCAAGCCCUAUGCAAGUCUCUAUUGAUCUUUUAGCAAAAAAAAGGUCUCUAUUGAUCUUAAGAUACUUGUUAUUCCUUACCUACUUAUUCUGAAUUUCUUUUGCUAUAACUAUUGCUAUCAUAUUCAUAGGGACAAAAUCGCAUCAUAUUAUGGCUCAAGUUCUGUACUGCUAUGGAACUUCCACUUGCUCGCGAGAAUAAAAUGCUACAACAACACCAACUACGAUCAAGUGAAAUCCCACCGGUAGAGUUUGAGAAGGAUAGUAUAUACGUAGACUCUAUUCUACCUCGAAGAUAUAGAGAGGUCCCUCGGCUCAAGAAGACCAUCACAAUAAAAUCUACUUCACAUUAAUUGAACCAAGAAACUACCAAUCCACUUUCUCAGUUUCCCUGCAUCUGCGUAACUGAAUUCCUGGUAGAAUACAGGAAAAACCGGAAGUUUGGCCAUACAGUUAACAAAAGUAUAUGAUAAAUUACAACCAUACUUUCACAAGACUUUAUGAGACAAUAUAGUGUAUACAUAACAAGAAACAGAGAAUUCUUUUUCUUACUAGUUACUACUACUACUACAAUAUUCCCAAAAUAAACCAAAAGAAUAUUUUAGAUAAGAAAAUUUAAGCCCUACCAUAAACAAGAAGAUGGGCAAGAAAGGCCACUACUAUGAUAGCUUGUGUUGUGAAGGCGAAGGAAAAACCUUCUUCUUCUUCUACUGCUAAAGAUGCCAUAUUUUAGCUUCAGCCAAACCAGCUUUCUGAGCUUUCUGGCUGAUCUGAGCCUUACACAUAUAACCCUUUUCACCCUAAUAAAAGACCUUCUAAUCCUCUCACUCAGACUUUUCUUCCUGCUGAAUUGGUAGCUUCUCAAGAAAAGCUGCCUUUUCUCAAUAUCUGUGUAUCCUGACGUCUCUGUUCUGAACAUGUAUAUUGGCCCAUAAGAAUACACAGCCAUAUCUGAUAUCUACACGCACACACAGAGUAAUAUCUGUGUAUGUAUGUAUAUGUAGAGAGAGAAAGCAAGCCUAGGCUUGUUUGGAGAGAGAAGAAAGAAUUGUAGUAGAAGGAGAAGAGAGGAGGGAUAUAUAGCUAGGCAGGGGUUUUUGAUUUUAAUGCAGUGUAUCUGUAGGUCACGCUUUGUAUUAAAGAAUUGUUGCUUCAGCGUCCACAACGCCGUCGUAAUGGUGGCCCUGUGCUUUUUUGCCUUUGUAGUAAAGCCAAACUUUUCUCUUUUUC
rnacentral:lncRNA from 1 species